AGCUGGGGUCAGGAAGGAUGCUCUCAGCCUGGCGGGAGCUCUUUACAACAGGUGGAGCUGUUUCCUUAUGGAUGAAAUCCUCCCUUGGUUGGCAUCUACCACUCCAAGCCAGGCAGGUACGUGCUCCUUUCAGACAGGAGUUGUUCGGUUCCAGCAGUCAUCAGUUAUUCUUCUCCACGGCAGGAUUAAACAAGAGGAGGCAACAGACGGUCCUGUAAUUUGGUUCCAUUCGCUCGACUGGAGCAACACCUGCCCCCCUCUCUGGGGACGGGAGGGUCUCAUCCCAAACCGUGCAAGGAGCCAAAGACGAAUCUGAAGCCCACAUGCAAAUAGAGCCCAGGAUAAAACAACACGGCCAUUCUG